AUUUUAUUAUUUGACAAAGUAGUUACUGGUUUCUGCCAUCAAGAAAAAAGACAAAAAGGGAUCUAAAGAGGAGGAUCAUGAGAGAACAUGGGCCUCACAAAUGUGUGCCAAGAGACAAUGGUAAACAAAAGAGAUAUCCACUGGCUUCUAGAAAAACAGAGAGUCUGAAAGGAGCAAGGAGAAGUGUUUGCUUGACCUCCUGGGCGCCUAUGUACCUGGAGCCCACACUUGAAAAGAGCAAUAGUCUCAGGUAAGACAAAAGAAACAUCUGAGAAGAGGGCCACAGUAUUUUGGUGCUGCUGAAUCCAGAUAGUUUCAGCAAGGUACACAGUGAAAAGGGACACAGGGAGGGGGACGACUGCACCAGAUUAAGGAAUGUAAAGGGGGAAGGCUACUCACAGG
rnacentral:lncRNA from 1 species